rnacentral:tRNA from 1 species
UCCCUGGUGGUCCAGAGGCUAAAGCGCCAUGCUCCCAAUGCAGGGGGCCCAGGUUCAAUUCCUGGUCAGGGAA